rnacentral:rRNA from 1 species
AACCUCCGCAAUGUGAGAAAUCGCGACGGGGGGAUCCCAAGUGCCAUUCUUAACGGGAUGGCUUUUCAUUAGUGUAAAGAGCUUUUGGAAUAAGGGCUGGGCAAGACCGGUGCCAGCCGCCGCGGUAACACCGGCAGCUCUAGUGGUAGCAGUCUUUAUUGGGCCUAAAGCGUCCGUAGCCGGUUUAAUAAGUCUCUGGUGAAAUCCUGUAGCUUAACUGUGGGAAUUGCUGGAGAUACUAUUAGACUUGAGACCGGGAGAGGUCAGAGGUACUCCCAGGGUAGAGGUGAAAUUCUGUAAUCCUGGGAGGACCGCCUGUUGCGAAGGCGUCUAACUGGAACGGUUCUGACGGUGAGGGACGAAAGUUAGGGGCGCGAACCGGAUUAGAUACCCGGGUAGUCCUAACCGCAAACGAUGCGGACUUGGUGUUGGGUGGCUUUGAGCUGCUCCAGUGCCGAAGGGAAGCUGUUAAGUCCGCCGCCUGGGAAGUACGGUCGCAAGACUGAAACUUAAAGGAAUU